AGCGAACGCUGGCGGCAGGCUUAACACAUGCAAGUCGAGCGGGCCCUUCGGGGUCAGCGGCGGACGGGUGAGUAACGCGUGGGAACGUGCCUUCUGGUCUGGAAUAACCCUGGGAAACUAGGGCUAAUACCGGAUACGCCCUUUUGGGGAAAGGUUUACUGCCGGAAGAUCGGCCCGCGUCUGAUUAGCUAGUUGGUGGGGUAACGGCCUACCAAGGCGACGAUCAGUAGCUGGUCUGAGAGGAUGAUCAGCCACACUGGGACUGAGACACGGCCCAGACUCCUACGGGAGGAAGCAGUGGGGAAUAUUGGACAAUGGGAGCAAGCCUGAUCCAGACAUGCCGCGUGAGUGAUGAAGGCCUUAGGGUUGUAAAGCUCUUUUAUCCGGGACGAUAAUGACGGUACCGGAGGAAUAAGCCCCGGCUAACUUCGUG
rnacentral:rRNA from 1 species